rnacentral:rRNA from 1 species
UAGGGAAUCUUCGGCAAUGGACGAAAGUCUGACCGAGCAACGCCGCGUGAGUGAAGAAGGUUUUCGGAUCGUAAAACUCUGUUGUUAGAGAAGAACAAGGACGUUAGUAACUGAACGUCCCCUGACGGUAUCUAACCAGAAAGCCACGGCUAACUACGUGCCAGCAGCCGCGGUAAUACGUAGGUGGCAAGCGUUGUCCGGAUUUAUUGGGCGUAAAGCGUGCGCAGGCGGUUUCUUAAGUCUGAUGUGAAAGCCCCCGGCUCAACCGGGGAGGGUCAUUGGAGACUGGGAGGCUUGAGUGCAGAAGAGGAGAGUGGAAUUCCAUGUGUAGCGGUGAAAUGCGUAGAGAUAUGGAGGAACACCAGUGGCGAAGGCGGCUCUCUGGUCUGUAACUGACGCUGAGGCUCGAAAGCGUGGGGAGCAAACAGG